UACGUAGGGUGCAAGCGUUGUCCGGAAUUAUUGGGCGUAAAGAGCUCGUAGGCGGUCUGUCACGUCGGGCGUGAAAUCCAAGGGCUUAACCCCGUGCCUGCUUCCGAUACGGGCGACUAGAGGUAUGCAGGGGAGAACGAAUUCCUGGUGUAGCGGUGAAAUGCGCAGAUAUCAGGAGGAACACCGGUGGCGAAGGCGGUUCUCUGGGCAUUACCUGACGCUGAGGAGCGAAAGUGUGGGGAGCGAACAGG
rnacentral:rRNA from 1 species